CAGCCGCCGCGGUAAUACGUAGGUGGCAAGCGUUGUCCGGAAUUAUUGGGCGUAAAGGGCUCGCAGGCGGUUUCUUAAGUCUGAUAUGAAAGCCCACGGCUCAACCGUGGAGGGUCAUUGGAAACUGUUAAACUUGAGUGCAGGAGAGAAAAGUGGAAUUCCUAGUGUAGCGGUGAAAUGCGUAGAGAUUAGGAGGAACACCAGUGGCGAAGGCGGCUUUUUGGCCUGUAACUGACACUGAGGCGCGAAAGCGUGGGGAGCAAACAGGAUUAGAUACCCGGGUAGUCCCUGUCUCUUAUAC
rnacentral:rRNA from 1 species